CUCAGGCCACAGUCAUUUGCUCCUUCCAAGAAAUGAAAGGAAAGGAACAUGGAGAGAAAGGGGAAAGUAAUAUUUUCUGUGUGCCUACUAUCUUACAAGCUCUGUGCCAGAAGCUUAACAUGUUGGUUACAUCAUUUAAUCCAAAACACCACCUUAGAAGGACUAGACUUAUGAAGUGGCCUCCCUGAGGACAUUUUCUGACCUUAUGGUAUGAAGUUCCUUCAGGCUCUUAAUUCUGGAUAAACUGGAGUGAUUAGCAAGAGCAAAGAGACAUAGUGUUCAGAUAAGGACUUUGUGUCUUAUUUUUCUUUUAUAUCACAACUGGAGCCACAGUUGCGGGCAAGGCACUGACUUUCUUGAUGAAUUCUGUCCAUCUGUAAAGCAGCUAAAUAUCCCACCUGGAGGCUUUGCCUCUCAGAGACAACAUGAAGAUGGAUAAGCAGGCAUCAGGAGCAGAGUGGCCUCUCAGCUUCCGCCAAGAACUUCUUACCUGGGCAUGUAUUUCUAUCUAUUCACUUUUUACCCUCUGGCGUAGAACUUCUUCCUACCAAACUGUCAUCCUCUGCACCUCUCCUGGCCUUCCUCACAAGUUUGUAAGCAUUAAGAAGGUGCGCUGCAUGCUUCAUUAAAUUCUUCCUUGGAAGGGCUGAGUUCA
rnacentral:sRNA from 1 species